rnacentral:tRNA from 1 species
UCGGGGCGUAGCGCAGCUUGGAUAGCGCACCUGCCUUGGGAGCAGGGGGUCGGUGGUUCAAAUCCACUCGCCCCGAUAAG